UCGUGACAAGAGGAGUGCAAUUAUUAUACAACUUGCAUGCGUGUUACACGCUUACACAUGUUCAUAGAACUGUAGAAGGAGAAAUUUCCCUCAAUAAAUUGUCCCUCUCUAGUUGCACACUCAGUAUCACGUUUCUACAUGCUAUAUCACUUCGAUCCUAAACAAAAUGGAGUCCAGUCAUCUGCUACCCCUUUCAGCACUUUUUUGUCUUGCAAUUCUGGGAAGCCAUGUGCAUGCAUCACUGCCUGCUGAAGAUUACUGGCAAACACUCUGGCCUAACACUCCCAGGCCUAAAGCUUUCAAGGACCUACUCGUGCAGCCUGGUCACAACCCAACUCAGUGAGUUUGCGGAUGGUGAUAGAGCAGAGGAUGACUCAGCUUUAUUCGGUUUAUUUUGUUAUAGUAUCUCUCACUUUUGAUUAUUGUACUUAUUACCUUAGAGGCUUAAACUUUAAGAGACAUGAUGCAUCUGUUUUAACUUCAAAACUUUACUGUAUUUCUGUUUUGGCUAACCGGCCUAAAUUCUGCAGGCUGUGACUAAUUCUCUUUUGUAUAUACAUAUUAUGUUUUAGUUAUCGUAUGUGAACGCUUCCGCUUUUGUAUCUUUGUU